rnacentral:rRNA from 1 species
AGGAGUUUGAUCCUGGCUCAGAGCGAACGUUAGCGGCGGGCCUAACACAUGCAAGUCGAACGAGAAUAAGGGGGCAACUCCUUUAGUAAAGUGGCGGACGGGUGCGUAACACGUAGGUAAUUUACCUUCCGGCGGGGGACAACAGUCCGAAAGGAUUGCUAAUACCGCAUACGUCGGCGAGACCUCAGGGUCUUGUCGGGAAAGAUGGCCUCUCCUUGGAAGCUGUCACCGGAAGAUGAACCUGCGGCCCAUCAGCUUGUUGGCGAGGUAACGGCUCACCAAGGCUAAGACGGGUAGCUGGUCUGAGAGGAUGAUCAGCCACACUGGGACUGCGACACGGCCCAGACUCCUACGGGAGGCAGCAGUGGGGAAUAUUGGGCAAUGGGCGAAAGCCUGACCCAGCCACGCCGCGUGAGUGAUGAAGGCCUUCGGGUCGUAAAGCUCUGUGGGGAGGGACGAAUAAGCCCAGUGCUAAUAUCACCGGGCCCUGACGGUACCUCCUUAGCAAGCACCGGCUAACCAUGUGCCAGCAGCCGCGGUAAUACAUGGGGUGCAAACGUUGCUCGGAAUUAUUGGGCGUAAAGCGCACGUAGGCGGUCCGUUAAGUCAGAUGUGAAAGCCCCCGGUCAACCGGGGAAAGUGCAUCUGAAACUGGGCGGGCUAGAGUACGAAAGAGGGUCGCGGAAUUCCCGGUUGUAAGGUGAAA